rnacentral:rRNA from 1 species
GUAGGGAAUAUUGCGCAAUGGGGGAAACCCUGACGCAGCGACGCCGCGUGAGUGAUGAAGGCCUUCGGGUCGUAAAGCUCUGUUGCAGGGGAAUAAAAAAAUGAAGGUACCCUGUGAGGAAGGAUCGGCUAACUUCGUGCCAGCAGCCGCGGUAAGACGAGGGAUCCUAGCGUUGCUCGGAAUCAUUGGGCGUAAAGAGGGCGUAGGUGGCUUGGUAAGUCAGGUGUGAAAGCCCAGGGCUCAACCCUGGAAGUGCAUUUGAUACUGCUGAGCUUGAGUGUCGGAGAGGUUACCGGAAUACCUGGUGUAGUGGUGAAAUACGUAGAUAUCAGGUGGAACACCGGAGGCGAAGGCGGGUAACUGGACGAACACUGACACUGAGGCCCGAAAGCGUGGGGAUCAAACAGGAUUAGAUACCCUAGUAGUCC